UCCACUCAGCUUCAGGACAAGCCAGCAGCUCUGAAAGUCAAGACCAAGAAACACAGUGUUGCCUCUCUUCUUCAAAAGUCAGCUCCAACUCACCCCACCUCCCUCUAGAGCCUUCCAUGAUUCUUUGCAAAGGAUAUGCCUUUGAAGCCAGAACAAGAGAUUUGUUUUCAUUAAGGAAACCGGCUGCAGAACUCAUAUUCCCAGGCAUAAACUUGGAUAAAUCACCUUUAUUUCAAUAAAGAGCAGACAAGCAAAGCCUUUGCACAGCCACCAGGUACAAAAAGUUGAG